rnacentral:rRNA from 1 species
UACGAAGGGGGCUAGCGUUGCUCGGAAUUACUGGGCGUAAAGGGCGCGUAGGCGGCUUUGUUAGUCAGGCGUGAAAUUCCUGGGCUCAACCUGGGGACUGCGCUUGAUACGGCAAGGCUAGAGUGUGGAAGAGGGUCGUGGAAUUCCCAGUGUAGAGGUGAAUUCGUAGAUAUUGGGAAGAACACCGGUGGCGAAGGCGGCGACCUGGUCCAUUACUGACGCGAGGCGCGACAGCGUGGGGAG